UACGAAGGAGGCUAGCGUUGCUCGGAAUUACUGGGCGUAAAGCGCACGUAGGCGGCUUUCUAAGUCGGGGGUGAAAUCCUGGAGCUCAACUCCAGAACUGCCUUCGAUACUGGAGAGCUUGAGUCCGGGAGAGGUGAGUGGAACUGCGAGUGUAGAGGUGAAAUUCGUAGAUAUUCGCAAGAACACCAGUGGCGAAGGCGGCUCACUGGCCCGGUACUGACGCUGAGGUGCGAAAGCGUGGGGAGCAAACAGG
rnacentral:rRNA from 1 species